CCCGCACAAGCGGUGAGCAUGUGGUUUAAUUCGAUGCAACGCGAAGAACCUUACCUGGGCUUGACAUCCCUGGAAUCCCCUGGAAACAGGGGAGUGCCCUUCGGGGAGCCAGGAGACAGGUGCUGCAUGGCUGUCGUCAGCUCGUGUCGUGAGAUGUUGGGUUAAGUCCCGCAACGAGCGCAACCCUUGUCUUUAAUUGCCAUCAUUCAGUUGGGCACUUUAAGAGACUGCCGGUGUUAAACCGGAGGAAGGUGGGGAUGACGUCAAGUCCUCAUGGCCUUUAUGCCCAGGGCUACACACGUGCUACAAUGGGUGGUACAAAGAGAUGCGAGUCGGUGACGGCGAGCUAAUCUCUUAAAGCCAAUCUCAGUUCGGAUUGUAGGCUGCAACUCGCCUACAUGAAGUCGGAAUCGCUAGUAAUCGCGGAUCAGCACGCCGCGGUGAAUACGUUCCCGGGCCUU
rnacentral:rRNA from 1 species